CCAAAGGCUCUUUUAAGAGCCACCCACAUUAUCAAAAUAGAGCUG
rfam:Lepisosteus oculatus linkage group LG26, whole genome shotgun sequence.